rnacentral:snoRNA from 1 species
AUAGACAAAUUGAUUUUAAAGCUUCAUACAAAUAACUUUUUUGGUUAAUGUGAAGUUUUUUUCUUU